GCGCGUCUGUGGUUGAAAGUCGAUGCCAGUCGCAGGCGAAACGAUCCACGUAAGCCGGGAAAAUUCCGGUGAGCAUGGUGCGGCUUAGAGGUAAGUCCUGCCAACAACAAUAUUCCGUUGAGAGGGCCAGUAGUGGGGAGGCAGAGUCCUUAGGAGCGAACGUCCCAGCAGGCGAGUGUGGGGUCAAAGACCAGGUCAGGCGCG
rnacentral:ncRNA from 1 species